rnacentral:rRNA from 1 species
ACCGUGUACGUACAAGCAGUGGGAGCACCUUCGUGGUGUGACUGCGUACCUUUUGUAUAAUGGGUCAGCGACUUAUAUUCUGUAGCAAGGUUAACCGUAUAGGGGAGCCGAAGGGAAACCGAGUCUUAACUGGGCGUUAAGUUGCAGGGUAUAGACCCGAAACCCGGUGAUCUAGCCAUGGGCAGGUUGAAGGUUGGGUAACACUAACUGGAGGACCGAACCGACUAAUGUUGAAAAAUUAGCGGAUGACUUGUGGCUGGGGGUGAAAGGCCAAUCAAACCGGGAGAUAGCUGGUUCUCCCCGAAAGCUAUUUAGGUAGCGCCUCGUGAACUCAUCUUCGGGGGUAGAGCACUGUUUCGGCUAGGGGGCCAUCCCGGCUUACCAACCCGAUGCAAACUACGAAUACCGAAGAAUGUUAUCACGGGAGACACACGGCGGGUGCUAACGUCCGUCGUGAAGAGGGAAACAACCCAGACCGCCAGCUAAGGUCCCAAAGUCAUGGUUAAGUGGGAAACGAUGUGGGAAGGCACAGACAGCCAGGAUGUUGGCUUAGAAGCAGCCAUCAUUUAAAGAAAGCGUAAUAGCUCACUGGUCGAGUCGGCCUGCGCGGAAGAUGUAACGGGGCUAAACCAUGCACCGAAGCUGCGGCAGCGACACUAUGUGUUGUUGGGUAGGGGAGCG